rnacentral:rRNA from 1 species
AUUGAACGCUGGCGGCAUGCUUUACACAUGCAAGUCGAACGGCAGCGCGGGCUUCGGCCUGGCGGCGAGUGGCGAACGGGUGAGUAAUACAUCGGAACGUGCCCAGCAGUGGGGGAUAGCUCGGCGAAAGCCGGAUACAUACCGCAUACGACCUGAGGGUGAAAGCGGGGGAUCUUCGGACCUCGCGCUAUUGGAGCGGCCGAUGGCAGAUUAGCUAGUUGGUGGGGUAAAGGCCUACCAAGGCGACGAUCUGUAGCUGGUCUGAGAGGACGACCAGCCACACUGGGACUGAGACACGGCCCAGACUCCUACGGGAGGCAGCAGUGGGGAAUUUUGGACAAUGGGCGAAAGCCUGAUCCAGCAAUGCCGCGUGUGUGAUGAAGGCCUUCGGGUUGUAAAGCACUUUUGGCGGGAACGAAAAGGACUGUGCCAAUACCACGCUUCGAUGACGGUACCCGCAGAAUAAGCACCGGCUAACUACGUG